UACAUGCAAGUCGAGCGGAAUGAUGAAGAAGCUUGCUUCUUCUGAUUUUAGCGGCGGACGGGUGAGUAACACGUGGGCAACCUACCUUGUAGAUUGGGAUAACUCCGGGAAACCGGGGCUAAUACCGAAUAAAUCCAUUUUGCUUCAUGGCGAGAUGUUAAAAGGCGGCUUCGGCUGUCACUACGAGAUGGGCCCGCGGCGCAUUAGCUAGUUGGUAGGGUAAUGGCCUACCAAGGCGACGAUGCGUAGCCGACCUGAGAGGGUGAUCGGCCACACUGGGACUGAGACACGGCCCAGACUCCUACGGGAGGCAGCAGUAGGGAAUCUUCCACAAUGGACGAAAGUCUGAUGGAGCAACGCCGCGUGAGUGAAGAAGGUUUUCGGAUCGUAAAACUCUGUUGUAAGGGAAGAACACGUACGAGAGUAAUUGCUCGUACCUUGACGGUACCUUAUUAGAAAGCCACGGCUAACUACGUG
rnacentral:rRNA from 1 species